GACGAACGCUGGCGGCGUGCUUAACACAUGCAAGUCGAACGGAAAGGCCCUGCUUGCAGGGUACUCGAGUGGCGAACGGGUGAGUAACACGUGGGUGAUCUGCCCUUCACUUCGGGAUAAGCCUGGGAAACUGGGUCUAAUACCGGAUAGGAGCCAUUUUUAGUGUGAUGGUUGGAAAGUUUUUUCGGUGUAGGAUGAGCUCGCGGCCUAUCAGCUUGUUGGUGGGGUAAUGGCCUACCAAGGCGGCGACGGGUAGCCGGCCUGAGAGGGUGGACGGCCACAAUGGGACUGAGAUGCGGCCCAGACUCCUACGGGAGGCAGCAGUGGGGAAGAUUGCACAAUGGGCGCAAGCCUGAUGCAGCGACGCCGCGUGGGGGAUGACGGCCUUCGGGUUGAAAACUACUUUCGCUAGGGACGGAGCUUUUUGUGACGGUACCUAGAUAAGAAGCACCGGCUAACUACGUG
rnacentral:rRNA from 1 species